GAUUCCCCUAGUAACUGCGAGUGAAGCGGGAAAAGCUCAAAUUUAAAAUCUGGCGGUCUUUGGCCGUCCGAGUUGUAAUCUAGAGAAGUGUUACCCGCGCCGGACCGUGUAUAAGUCUCCUGGAACGGAGCGUCAUAGAGGGUGAGAAUCCCGUCUUUGACACGGACUCCCGGGGCAUUGUGGUGCGCUCUCAAAGAGUCGAGUUGUUUGGGAAUGCAGCUCAAAAUGGGUGGUAAAUUCCAUCUAAAGCUAAAUAUUGGCGAGAGACCGAUAGCGAACAAGUACCGUGAGGGAAAGAUGAAAAGAACUUUGGAAAGAGAGUUAAACAGUACGUGAAAUUGCUGAAAGGGAAACGCUUGAAGNCAGUCGCGUNGGCCGGAAAUCAACCUUGCUUCUGCUUGGUGUACUUUCUGGUCGACGGGCCAGCAUCAGUUUUGACCGGUGGAAAAGGUUCAAGGGAAUGUGGCAUCUUCGGAUGUGUUAUAGCCCUUGGUCGUAUACACCGAUUGGGACUGAGGAAUUCAGCACGCCGAAAGGCCGGGGUUCGCCCACGUUCGUGCUUAGGAUGCUGGCAUAAUGGCUUUAAUCGACCCGUCUUGAAACACGGACCAAGGAGUCUAACAUGCCUGCGAGUGUUUGGGUGGAAAACCCGGACGCGCAAUGAAAGUNAAAGUCGGGAUCCCUGUCGCGGGGAGCACCGACGCCCGGACCAGAAGUUUACGGACGGAUCCGCGGUGAAGCAUGUAUGUUGGGACCCGAAAGAUGGUGAACUAUGCCUGAAUAGGGUGAAGCCAGAGGAAACUCUGGUGGAGGCUCGUAGC
rnacentral:rRNA from 1 species